GACGAACGCUGGCGGCGUGCUUAACACAUGCAAGUCGAACGGAAAGGCCCUGCUUUCCGUGUACUCGAGUGACCAACGGGCGGGUAACUCGCGGGUGAUCUGCCCUCCACUUCGGGAUAAGCAUGGUAAACUGGGUCUAAUACCUGACAGGAGCCAUUUUUAGACUGAUGGUUGGAAAGUUUUUUCGGUGUAUGAUGAGCUCGCGGCCUAUCAGCUUGUUGGUGUGGUAAUGGCCUACCAAAGCGGCGACGGGUAGCCGGCCUGAGAGGGUGGACGGCGACAUUGGGACUGAGGGACGGCCCAGACUCCUAAGGGAGGCAGAAGUGGGGAAUAUUGCCCAAUGAGCGCAAGCCUGUUGAAGCGGGGCUGCGUGGGGGAUGACGGCCUUAGGGUUGAAAACGCAUUUCGCUAGGGACGAAGCUUUUUGUGACGGUACCUAGACAGAAAGCAACGGCUAACUACGUG
rnacentral:rRNA from 1 species